UGGGGAAUUUUGGACAAUUGGGCGAAAGCCUGAUCCAGCAAUGCCGCGUGUGUGAAGAAGGCCUUCGGGUUGUAAAGCACUUUUGUCCGGAAAGAAAUCCUUGGCUCUAAUACAGUCGGGGGAUGACGGUACCGGAAGAAUAAGCACCGGCUAACUACGUGCCAGCAGCCGCGGUAAUACGUAGGGUGCAAGCGUUAAUUCGGAAUUACUGGGGCGUAAAGCGUGCGCAGGCGGUUUUGCUAAGACCGAUGUGAAAUCCCCGGGCUCAACCUGGGAACUGCAUUGGUGACUGGCAGGCUAGAGUAUGGCAGAGGGGGGUAGAAUUCCACGUGUAGCAGUGAAAUGCGUAGAGAUGUGGAGGAAUACCGAUGGCGAAGGCAGCCCCCUGGGCCAAUACUGACGCUCAUGCACG
rnacentral:rRNA from 1 species